rnacentral:rRNA from 1 species
GACGAACCGUGCGAACGUUGUUCGGAAUCACUGGGCUUAAAGGGCGCGUAGGCGGGCUGCCAAGUCUGGGGUGAAAUCCCACGGCUCAACCGUGGAACUGCCCCGGAUACUGGCGGCCUCGAGGGGGGUAGGGGCGUGCGGAACUGUGGGUGUAGCGGUGGAAUGCGCAGAUAUCAGGAAGAACACCCGUGGCGAAGGCGGCUCUCUGGAACGCAACUGACGCUGAGACGCGAAAGCGUGGGGAGCAAACAGG